GAACAGGACAGAGAGUGACAUACUUGAAAUGUUUCCCCAGGAGAGUUUGGCAUUCUUUCGAUAAGGGUAGUCUUUAACCUUCAUUGAAGAAAUCUUUUUGCAACAGUAAGCGACCACUCCAGAAAACAACAACCAAUAAAAAUGCAGAGUCGUGGAGCUCCGUCCAAACAGUUACAUCAACAAUCAGACUGCACCUUCACUCCAGGUUCAGAGAUCAUUUCAGAAGAGGGAUUGGAAAAUUACAAGUGCCCGAGGAACUGGGAGUUUGCUGACUGGAAAGAUGGCUCAAAGGGUAGAGGCGCAAGCCUGAGACCUGUGUUUGAUCCUGGGAACAGAGGAAAAGGUGAAAGAAAAGAACUGACUCCACAAAGUCUUCUCCCUUCCACAUGAGAGUAGGGCAUGCACACCCAUGCAUGUGCUUUAUGAAUGCACACACAAUAAUAAAUUAAUUUUUUAAAAAAACUUGAAAGUAUAUAAAAAAAUCCCAUUUUGAUAGGCUUGGUAAGCUUGAUAGGAUAAAGCAGGUUUGUUUCAUCCACUUGAGACUUUCUGAGAGGUACUUAAGUCAUAUGGAAAUCAAAUCUUCCCAUUCUGUUUCAAUAACAAUGAAUUUUAGUUAUUCCUGUCACAAUUUUAGUUUGUUUUAAUAGUGCAGGGCAUGGUGUAUAUAGACUACAAAACACCAAGGUUAAACCAGUCAACCAAAUUCCAUGAUGUUCAUAGCAUGACUUCAGGGAGGCUUUACUUAGUCAAAAACAUUUUCUAAUAACAUUCAAUUUUUGAGGGCUAUAAUAUCCUAGCCAUGUCAGUGUUUUCAUUAGGUUAAACUUGCUCAUACCACCCCAUGGAAGAAACAUUGGAAAGCCUAUGAGGAAGAAGGGUGCAGAGUGUGAUUUGUGCAUGUCCAAGUAGUGAACUAUGACUGAGCAAGCAUGGCAGUCGAUAGUUAGUGAUCUCGUAUCUCCCUUUGCUGAAAUCUUUGCUACUCAGGCAUCCAAUAGAUGACACUUUACUACUGUUAAUUAUUAUCACUAAAACAUUUUCACAUGAUCUUUGUAGGAUUAUCUCAACAACUCAGCUUUGGAAACAAUAAACAUACAGAAUAGGAAGUCAGUAAAAUGUACUAUUGAUGUGACAGGCAAUCUUGUUUAUAACAAUUAGAGUUAUUUAAAACUUCAGUGCAUUCUAAAGAAGAAGGAAA